rnacentral:lncRNA from 1 species
CCGAGCCCGGCAACUUGCGAGCCGGGAAAAGUUUGCGGCGCCUCCGCGGGGCGGCGCGGCGCGGCGCGGCCCGCCCCUGGCGUCCACGGUCACCGCCGGUGACUUUCUGGACUCGUCGUCAGCCCGGGCCGCGGCGCGGCCGGUGGCGACUGCGGGGAGGGCCAGAGUACGUCCGAGGGCUCCCGCGCAAGGGGCUGCGGGUGAGUUGGCUUUUCCGGCACGAGGGGCUUCAGCGGUCCGGGGUGUCUGGGUUUGGGAGAAGGCAAGGAGAGUGCCUUUUAAUACUUUUUAGAGCAGGCGGGGAGAACAAAUAAAAGUGCGAUUGCUUAAGAGUCGCUGACCUGCCACUGACUUGUGAACCGUAUCGGUGGGAACCUUUUAGGAGCCAGAACUACUGAGGGCCUGUGCGGCGUGGGGGUUGGGAGGUGGAAAGAUUAGAAGGUCGCGCACCAGCCCUGCCUGUAACUGGCUCUGCGUGACCUUGGACAAGUGACUUAACUACUUAGAUCUCCUCAUCGGUGAUACAUGAGGCUAGAGCUACAUGAUCUGUGGUGUCUUUCCGUUUUUUAAAUACAUCUCGGUUUGAGAUUUUCCUUGGGCCUCAGCGUGGUACACGAAUUAUGAACCAGUAGGCCAGGAUAUAUUUACAGGCGCAUGGAUUCACCUUUCAGCCUGCUGAUAAGUAACUUUUAAGUCUGAUGUUUUCAAACAGUAAUAUUUGAGGGUUUGAGAGGGUUUUUUUAGUGAGAAAUAAACUAUCCUUUGCUUUAAAACACUUCUUAAAACUGAUCUACUUUGCUGCACCAUUUGGAGUAGUAGGAGCCAGGCUGGGGACAGAGAACCAAGCCUGAGGGUAAAGUGGCAGGUGCCUCCAGCGAUCCCUUCAUCCCAUCUCUGACUCAAUUUAGGGGGAGAACAAGGCUCUUAUUAUACACACGAGAGAGUAAACAGGGCAGGUGUUUUGUUGUCACUGUUUUUCUGUAUUGCUUCUUUCUACUGAAAACUUUUGUGUGGAGGGCAGUGGGGGAGUAGUGGUCUCUAACUUCUGGCAAAGGAAAAGAAAAUGUCACUUACAACCAAAGUAAGUCUUAAACUAAUGUAAAUCUUCCUUACAGAAACAGUAACACAUAAUGCAAGUACAUCUUGAUCUAAUUUUAAUGAAGGAUUGAAAAUAGCUGCUAUGUUCAGUAUCACUGAUGCCAAGAUGGCUUACUUACAUAAUCUUCUUUGUUGGGAUGUGUUAGUGACGUGUAUAAUUUUGAUAAAUUAUUAAUGUUAAAGGUUUAGUCUGAGAAUGCUUUUGGAAUAUUGUCAUUACAGGUUGUGUUGCAAUACAAUGAAGUGUUAACUUUCCUUUAUAAUGAUAACGUGCAUUUUUUCCCCAAAAAGUGAAAUCAAGCAUUUUCCCUAACCCAAAUUCUUUUAACUAUUAUAUAUUCAUCAGUACAGAAUACAGGAGAAGUUAUUUUGUUCUCUCAAUAAUAAAUUUUCCCAGUUUUGUCAUUAUUUAUGAGCAUGCCUUCUAGGAGUUAGGUGCUCCACUGGACAUUUUCUCUUCUCGUGGAGCUUAUAACAACAAAAGAUGAUUUCUUUUAAUGUAAGUGCAUAAAUAUACUCAAUAAAUACUCACUGGAAAAAAUACCCAGUGCUCAGAUAAGAAUAAUUUAAAAUUCUUUUCGCCCAUCCUUAAAGAGAAUCAUUAUCAUGCUUUAGGGGAAAGAGAGAAGGUGUCAAAGAAAACUGGCAGAAAAACCAAGCUUAAUUCCAGUAUCUAUCCUGAAAGAUUGUAUUUUAAAAUAGGGAUACAGAUUUAGAAACAAAGACAAUUGAUAGGGUUUAUAGGCAAAAGAUAGCAAUACUGAUUUAACAUAAUACAUUUUAUGACCUAGCUUUCUUUGAAGAGCACAAACCUUUGAAAAGGUAUGUUUCGGGAAUUAUCAGUAGUUGUUUACAUUGUGAUUGAAUGUCUAAUUAAAUGGCCAAAUCAUAACCAUAAUAUUUCAAUAGAGUGUUAUCUGAUUUUUAAACUCAUUGUUAAAAUAACAUGAAAUGAACCUUUCAAUGUAGUUGCAUGAAGGAAAGUAUACCUUUUGAAAUCAACUAAAUCUGCAGUUAAAAAAUUAACUCCAAUCUUACACCAAAUAUAAAAUAAGCACUGGAAGUAGCAUCUUUCCAAGAAGGUCUUCACUCUAGAUAAAUGCUAUGUGUGUAGAGGGAUCCUGUGUGGACCACAUCAUGUAUAAAAUAUUCUGAUUUUCCUAAGGGAAAAUAGUCUAUGUAUGUGUAAUAGUCUAUUUGUUGACAUAAGGAAUUUAAGUCCCCAAUAUUUAUAAGCCUGGAAACUUCUGGAAAGCCUUCUAGACUUAUUUAAAAGUAACCACUCAACCUAAAACAUGGCAUUGAUAUUUGAACAACAAGCUGACUUUGUAGAAUGUGCAUUCUCCUCAUAGCAGGUUUGCUGGUUUGGCUGUCUUACAGGGGGUUAGAGCAGUGAAGUGAGUAUGGUCCUUUGACCACUUGUAUCAGAAUCUUCUGUAGCACCUGGCAAACUUCAGACUGCUGGGCAACUUCCUACACUUAAAGGAUCAGAAUGUCUGUGAGCAGAACCUAGAGUCUGUAUUCUUAAUAAGCUUCCUCCCAAAGUGAGAAUUAAUCACACUAAAUUUUGAGAAUUAGAGUUUUCUUGCCAAUGUUUAAUGGCAACUGUUGCUUUCCCCAGGAACAUUUAAAAAGUACUUCUACCCCACCAUGCUCUCUGCCCUGAUCACUUCCUCUCCAGCACCAAAAUUGGUGGUUUCAUCUCUUAGUUGUGGCCAGGGAUCUCCUCACAAGCCACUUCUAUAAGCAAGCCAAAAUACCACCUACCUUCUAAUUAAUAAGCACAGUUAAGCCUGCUUUGGAGCACAGGGCCAAGAGACCCCUUCUACUAUGGGAUAUUCCCACCACCCUCUCUUCCAGUCACCUCCUAAGUCAACUAGAGACAUUAAGUUUCAAGCAAAUAAUUGGGAAUGGACCCCAAGGAGCAGAAGGUGUGAGAGGGAACAGAGCUAGAAUGCAGCAUGGAAACCUAUCCCCUCAACAUAGUUUAACACCCAUAUUUGAUGAUUUUAGUUCUCAAGCUGAUAUUUUGGCAGUCAAGCAAGUGGCUGAACCCAGGCCCCAUGCUGUCUUAUUAAAACUUUCAUUUGCAAACCCAUAAAAUGGCUUCUGUAACCUCUGUAUGCAUAAAACCCCAACAUUUCAGUAUUUUCAUGUUUAUUGAAGAAAAAGGGAAGAGUUUAGGAGAGAAGUUCAAAGCAUAGGCCAAGGGGUCAGCCACACCUGAUACAAAUCCUAGCGUUGCCAUUUAUUAGCUAGGUGACUUUGAGCUGUACCCUCUACCUACCCUCUAUGCUUUAGUUUCCUUACUUGGAAAAUGAGGAUAAUAGUAUCCGCCUCAUAGGAGUUGUUUUGGUAAUUAUGUAAUACACAAAUUAGUGACAGAUAAUAAUUUUCACUCAGUACAUACUCCAUAUAUGUACUUUUAAUUUAUUAUAGUAAUUUUUUAAAAAUUUCUUUUCUAGCCCUGGAGAGUUGCUGUAGAAGAGGGAUAAGAGAGGAAGACAACACAGGAGGAGAUAAGUCACUCUGGAUACAAGGGAAGGUCAUACCACUAUAUAGUAAUUAUUGAGCAGAGGGGAAAGGGACAAGGGAAGGAGUAGACUGCAGUCCAGCUAAUAACCUGGGUUUCCUCAUGUAUCACCCUGGCUCAGGUGCUGUCUCCUCUACCCCCUCCCUUUUUAUACCCCUUUAUUUAGUACUUAAAUACUUUUCUGAUUCACUUUGAGAAACAUUGAUUAUGUUGUCUGCCUCAAAAUGUUAAUCUUGGUUUUGGAUUUUAGGCUCUGUGAUCCUCAACCUUGCAAUGGCUUAGGGGUAGCAACUGUCUCCUCUCUUGGAAUCUAGCCUUUGGAAUUAUU